rnacentral:snRNA from 1 species
AUACUCUGGUUUCUCUUCAGAUCGUAUACAUCUUUCGCCUUUUACUAAAGAUUUCCGUGGAGAGGAACAACUCUGAGUCUUAAACCAAUUUUUUGAGGCCUUGCUUUUUGUGAGGCU